rnacentral:rRNA from 1 species
UACGUAGGGGGCUAGCGUUGUCCGGAAUCAUUGGGCGUAAAGAGCGCGUAGGCGGCUAGAUAAGUCCGGUGUGAAAGUCACAGGCUCAACCUGUGAAUGCCGCUGGAAACUGUCUGGCUAGAGUCCGGAAGGGGCGAGUGGAAUUCCUGGUGUAGCGGUGAAAUGCGCAGAUAUCAGGAGGAACACCAGUGGCGAAGGCGGCACUCUGGGCCGGUACUGACGCUGAGGAGCGAAAGCGUGGGGAGCGAACAGG